GUGAAGAACGUAGCGAAAUGCGAUAAGUAAUGUGAAUUGCAGAAUUCCGUGAAUCAUCGAAUCUUUGAACGCACAUUGCGCCCCCUGGCAUUCCGGGGGGCAUGCCUGUCCGAGCGUCAUUUCUGCCCUCAAGCACGGCUUGUGUGUUGGGUGUGGUCCCCCCGGGGACCUGCCCGAAAGGCAGCGGCGACGUCCGUCUGGUCCUCGAGCGUAUGGGGCUCUGUCACUCGCUCGGGAAGGACCUGCGGGGGUUGGUCACCACUAUAUUUUACCACGGUUGACCUCGGAUCAGGUAGGAGUUACCCGCUGAACUUAAGCAUAUCAAUAAGCGGAGGA
rnacentral:misc_RNA from 1 species